rnacentral:rRNA from 1 species
CGGAUGAAGGGAGCUUGCUCCUGGAUUCAGCGGCGGACGGGUGAGGAAUGCCUAGGAAUCUGCCUGGUAGUGGGGGAUAACGUCCGGAAACGGGCGCUAAUACCGCAUACGUCCUGAGGGACAAAGUGGGGGAUCUUCGGACCUCACGCUAUCAGAUGAGCCUACGUCGGAUUAGCUCAUUGGUGGGGUAAAGGCCUACCCAAGCGACGAUCCGUAACUGGUCUGAGAGGAUGAUCCGUCACACAGGAACUGAGACCCGGGUCCAGACUCCUACGGGACGCAGCAGUGGAGAAUAUUGGCCAAUGGGCGAAACCCUGAUCCAGCCAUGCCGCGUGUGUGAAGAAGGUCUUCGGAUUGUAAAGCACUUUAAGUUGGGAGGAAGGGCAGUAAGUUAAUACCUUGCUGUUUUGACGUUACCAACAGAAUAAGCACCGGCUAACUUCGUGCCAGCAGCCGCGGUAAUACGAAGGGUGCAAGCGUUAAUCGGAAUUACUGGGCGUAAAGCGCGCGUAGGUGGUUCAGCAAGUUGGAUGUGAAAUCCCCGGGCUCAACCUGGGAACUGCAUCCAAAACUACUGAGCUAGAGUACGGUAGAGGGUGGUGGAAUUUCCUGUGUAGCGGUGAAAUGCGUAGAUAUAGGAAGGAACACCAGUGGCGAAGGCGACCACCUGGACUGAUACU